UACGUAGGGGGCGAGCGUUGUCCGGAUUCAUUGGGCGUAAAGCGCGUGCAGGCGGCCCGCUAAGUCGGCCGUGAAAGCGCCGGGCUCAACUCGGCGAGGUCGGGCGAUACUGGCGGGCUCGAGGCUGGUAGAGGGCGGUGGAAUUCCGGGUGUAGUGGUGGAAUGCGUAGAGCUCCGGAGGAACACCAGUGGCGAAGGCGGCCGCCUGGGCCAGUCCUGACGCUGAGCCGCGAAAGCGUGGGGAGCGAGCCGG
rnacentral:rRNA from 1 species